rnacentral:tRNA from 1 species
GCCGGGGUGGCGGAAUUGGUAUACGCGUCGGACUCAAAAUCCGAUGAGAUUUAUCUCUUGAGAGUUCGAGUCUCUCCUCCGGCACCA